CCUACGGGAGGCAGCAGUGGGGAAUAUUGGACAAUGGGGGGAACCCUGAUCCAGCCAUGCCGCGUGUGUGAAGAAGGCCCUCGGGUUGUAAAGCACUUUCAGUGAGGAAGAACGCCUGGUGGUUAAUACCCAUCAGGAAAGACAUCACUCACAGAAGAAGCACCGGCUAACUCCGUGCCAGCAGCCGCGGUAAUACGGAGGGUGCGAGCGUUAAUCGGAAUUACUGGGCGUAAAGCGCGCGUAGGUGGCUGGAUAAGCCGGUUGUGAAAGCCCCGGGCUCAACCUGGGAACGGCAUCCGGAACUGUCAAGCUAGAGUGCAGGAGAGGAAGGUAGAAUUCCCGGUGUAGCGGUGAAAUGCGUAGAGAUCGGGAGGAAUACCAGUGGCGAAGGCGGCCUUCUGGACUGACACUGACACUGAGGUGCGAAAGCGUGGGUAGCAAACAGGAUUAGAUACCCGAGUAGUC
rnacentral:rRNA from 1 species